rnacentral:rRNA from 1 species
GAUCAAGCGCGUAAGGGCGCACGGUGGAUGCCUGGGCACAGGGAGGCGAUGAAGGACGUGCUAAGCUGCGAUAAGCCUGGGGGAGAAGCAAAGAAGCCCGUGAUCCCAGGAUCUCCGAAAGGGAAACCCGG